rnacentral:rRNA from 1 species
ACUGCUCAGUAACACGUGGACAACCUGCCCUUAGGUUGGGUAUAAACCCGGGAAACUGGGUAUAAUACCCGAUAGGUCUCGAUUGCUGGAAUGCAUCGAGAUUUAAAGCUCCGGCGCCUAAGGAUGGGUCUGCGGCCUAUCAGGUAGUAGUGGGUGUAGCGUACCUACUAGCCUACGACGGGUACGGGUUGUGAGAGCAAGAGCCCGGAGAUGGAUUCUGAGACACGAAUCCAGGCCCUACGGGGUGCAGCAGGCGCGAAAGCUUUACAAUGCUGGCAACAGCGAUAAGGGAACCUCGAGUGCCAGGUUACAAAUCUGGCUGUCGAGAUGCCUAAAAAGCAUUUCAUAGCAAGGGCCGGGCAAGACCGGUGCCAGCCGCCGCGGUAACACCGGCGGCUCGAGUGGUAACCGUUAUUAUUGGGUCUAAAGGGUCUGUAGCCGGCCGGAUAAGUCUCUUGAGAAAUCUGGCAGCUUAACUGUCAGGCUUUCAGGAGAUACUGUCUGGCUCGAGGCCGGGAGAGGUGAGAGGUACUUCAGGGGUAGGGGUGAAAUCUUGUAAUCCUUGAAGGACCACCAGUGGCGAAGGCGUCUCACCAGAACGGACCUGACGGCAAGGGACGAAAGCUAGGGGCACGAACCGGAUUAGAUACCCGGGUAGUCCUAGCCGUAAACGAUACUCGCUAGGUGUCGGCCACGGUGCGACCGUUGUCGGUGCCGUAGGGAAGCCGUGAAGCGAGCCACCUGGGAAGUACGGCCGCAAGGCUGAAACUUAAAGGAAUUGGCGGGGGAGCAC